ACGAUUACUCAUUUAGUUGUUGCACCUCUAAUUAACAUAUUACAAAAUUCAACAAGCAUGUCAAAAAAUCAGCAAACAAUAUGGCCAAAUUUCAUCAUUUCACCCAGUUGUAAAGUUAACCAAAUACUGAAGGAUUGCAAAACACGUUUAAUAUUCAGCCUAUAAUUUGCAUUGUUUGUCAUCAGCAACAAAAUUACAUUUUCUUUGAAAUAAUCAACUAUUUGGGUGCUACUGACAAAGCUAGACGUCAAAUCCAUUUGAACUGCGAGGGCAACAACAGUGAUGGACAUCUAAGAAGGACGACAGGAACGACUAAGGUUUGGCCGAAAAAAUGCCAACUCCUCGUCCUUCAUCGUCUUCUCCGGCGACGAGUCAAUGCAGAAAUCUGAAAACACACCCAAAGACUUGUCAAAGUCGACAUUUUGUGAGGAUUAAUCCAGCCAGCGGGAGGUAAGCAACAAGCCAACUCAUCAUAGCGAGUACUGCCAGUAAACACCUUUCAAAAGAAAAGAACCUUGGUAAUAAAGACUAUAAAGUAAGUAAUAAACUUGCGUUGAUUUAAAUCAAACUGUUAAUGAAAUGAAUACAAAAAAUUCUAAAAGCAUUUAUAUAGAUUUUUUUUAAUGUGAAAAAAAAAAUGAUGCCUUCUAUGCGUAGUCUUUUAUUUCUGCCGAGGUCACAUAACUUCCGCUCAUUAACGUGGUAACACUUGCUACCUUGAUUUAAAAAAAAAUCCCAUUGACUGACAGUCAAAUCAGAGCACGGCCUGAAAUACGGUAAAACAUCGUCAUCUACUGGCCGAGCCCAGCGUGUGCUCUUUUUAAAGAGCCACGACGAAAGCAAAACAUAAAACGUAAAAAAAAAAAAAAAAAAAAAAACAUAAAACGUAUUUUAUCACCUGUGAAAUUUGAUCAGUAUUCGUCAUUUUAAAUUAUAAAACCUGACUGAAACCAACUUAAAAUGAUAGCCCUUGUUUGGAUACCCAACUUUUUAAAAAAUGGCCUUUUUCUGAAAUGCUACAUAACUAUGUUGACAACAUAAACGAAAUUGCGUUGGCGUUUUGUUUUCAGUCAAUAUAAGCCACAGUUUUGAUUAUGGGUGCUCAAUCCCUGGUGGUCUAGUGGCUAGGAUUCGGCGCUCUCACCGCCGCGGCCCGGGUUCGAUUCCCGGUCAGGGAAUAUGAGUUUUUCUUGUCGCUCACAUUGGUCAUUUCAGAAAAUGUACUACAAUCAAUCUUUUUCUUGUCGCUCACAUUGGUCAUUUCAGAAAAUGUACUACAAUCAAUCUUAGUCAUACAUAACGUUAUUAAACAUUUAGGCAAGGGAAAUUGUAUUUGUAUAACACACUUUAACGGAAGUAAUUUAUGGGGCAUGUAGUCUCCGGAUUACGAACAAAUUCAGUUCUUACUCUAGCGAGGUAACUCGAAUUUCCGCGUAACUCAUAAUUAAACCUUUAAAUACCCCCAAAAAAACCCCAAAUCUCAAAACAACUAUCCAAAAACAUGUAUUAUACAUCACUGUACCGUCCUCGCCAAGACGUUGGAGCUAAGUCCAAGCUGGAAAGCAAGCUAAGCUCCGAAAUGGCAAUGUCAGACGUCCGUCCAGGGCGGUGUCGAGUUGCUACUCCUCUGUGUUGAGAGGAGCCAAUUGAGGUGGCUCGGGCAUCUCGUUCGGAGGCUUCCUGGACAGUGUUGUCACAAAUAAUUUAAAAUAGUAAUUUAAUUACUGAUUACGCCUCAAAAAAGUAAUCUAGUUACUUUACUGAUUACUUUAUUAUCAAAGUAACUAAGUAACUUUAAAAGUUACUUACCAGCUACUUUUUACCAAUUUUUCUCCCUUUUCCGCCUCAACAUAAGAAUGAAAAGAGAAAAAUGUCAUCGCAUGGAAUUGACUUUCCGAUAAUUGAAUUUAAAGGGGAACAGGGCCGGCCCAGCCUAUAUGCAGACUAUGCAGCUGCUUAGGGCCCCUGACCACUGGGGGGCCCCCAAUUUGGCAAUUGUUUAAUUUAUAUUCUAUUUUGUUUACUACAGUUUGCUUUAUUUGACUUUUGUCAGUUUUGAUACUUGAUUACAAGCUUAAAAAAAUAAAAGUUCUUCCUUAACUUCUUUCCUCUUUUAGAAAAAGGUUUGGCGCUAUCUACUGUAAGUACUGACAAUCAUUUGGGGUGAGAAGUUUGAAGAAUGCAGUGCAACAAAAUCUGAUUAAUAUACAAAAUAUGGACGUAUGGAUUGGAUUGCAUGUAUGGGUUUCACAGUACACUGUGAUGAAAUGGUGGGCCGAAAAUAUGGGCCCCUUGGCAUUAUUUUGCCUAGGGCCCCCAAAUGGCCUGGGCCGGCCCUGAAGGGGAAGAUCAGAAUUUUUCACAUAAGGCUUAAUCUUCGAGUUAGUGGAGGUUUAGUUAGUCAAUGGAGUUGAUUUCAACCACCAUUGACUCGCGCUAGUUUAGCCACUCCGGAGCCCGAAACUAACAAAUAAAUGACAAACUGCAUAGAAUUUUUUAAAAUGAACUCCACCAACAAAUUUAACCCCGCUAACUCGAAGAUUAAGCCUAAUGUCAAAAAUUCAACAUUUCAGGUUAGGGUUGACAGUAUAUCAGCCAAUGUAAAACAAUGCAAAUUGACUACCCAAUAAUCAACAACACACAAAUGAAUUGCACAGUGCAAUAAACACAAAAGGUGGGGGCGGGUGUGGCUGCGCUCGCACAACUCGGAAGUACACCAUACACACACCCGGACAAUUUGGCCAACAAAUGUGGCGGCAACUAGGCGCUUUACACUCAAUUGGACUUACAACAUAUACCAAAGAUGCUAAACGAACACGUCACCUCACUGCAUAAAUGUGCAACAUGAAUAUGAUGCAAACAAUGGUUGCCAACUUGGAGCGUUGACUGCCCGUCGUUGCAACGGCAAAGCUAUGAAACGGCCGCGCAUGUUGGUUGUCCAACCUAUCGCUGAUACCCUUCAGAAUGAAGGAAAAAUACACACUUUUAUUUAUGGAUGUAUACAGAUCAACAUUCCCUCACACAUCUCAACACUCACUUCGAAUGUGCACACAUGCUGGCAGCCUAGCCCACGCCUUUCUUUGUUCAAAAACACUUAGCGCGUGUGACUCGAGACCAAAACAGGAAGUAGCUGUCAGCGGUUACCAUGGAAACAAACACCUACCGGGAACCUUUUCGAGCUUUUCUGUUCAAAAUGCUCUUCGUACAUGACUACUAGUGGUGUCAACAAUAAUCGAUACAUCCCAAUGCGAGGCAUGGACGAUUCGAGUCGAUGCGGGCAACAAGCCGAAUCGAUUCAGCGCAUUUUAAAAUAUAUAAGUACGUUCAAAAAUCUUCCCUGCGCAAUUCCGGUGAUGCAACGGAUUUGGUUUCCCCAUUUGUAUUAUUAUUCUCAUGUUUAAUUUUUUUACACACCGCAUAACUCAAGUUUCCCACCAACCUCGUAGAAGCCAAAAUGUCUCCAGAUGUCUGCUUUCAAUGUCUUAGUGCAUCAAUAAUCUUUCUCGCUCCCUCUUUCUCCGCUUCAGCCAUUAUUAUGUUAUGUCCUAUCGCUUAGAGGUUAGA